rnacentral:rRNA from 1 species
CAAUAAGCGGUGGAAAAGAAACCAACCGGGAUUCCCUUAGUAACGGCGAGCGAACAGGGAUGAGCCCAGUAUGUAAAUCUCCAGCCUUUGGCUGGCGAAUUGUAGUCUGGAGGAGUGUUCCCUGGGUGGGUGCUAGCCGAAGUAUACUGGAAGGUAUCGCUCUAGAGGGUGAGAGCCCCGUAGGCCAGUCUUCCCGCCCUUCACGGGACGCUUUCGAAGAGUCGGGUUGUUUGGGAAUGCAGCCCUAAUUUGGUGGUAAACCCCAUCUAAGGCUAAAUACCAAUGGGAGACCGAUAGCGAAAAAGUACCUCGAGGGAACGAUGAAAAGACCGCUGGCAAGCGAGUAAAAGAGUGCAUGAAAUUGUGUAGUGGGAAGGGAUGGCCCGGUAGCAUGCGCUCGGGUUGAUGUGGUUCGUCAGAACUGCUGUCUGCACUGAGUGCUGGCUGGUACCGGCGCCUCUGGCCGUAUAACACCCUGCUGAGAUGCAAGGCGCUGCGGGCAGAGGUGCCGAGGUUGAUCAGUGCUUUGCCCCUUCGGGGAGCUGCUCUGACAGGGUACCAGCUGAAGCCGGUCCAUCUGCCCGUCUUG